CGCAGCUCUCUGAGUCUCCCCACAUCAGAUCUGUGAAGUAUCUAUCGAAAGGCUUUGGUUUGAGCUUCUAAAACGGCAUGCUUGGGGCCCACUUAUGUUAACGAAUCAAUUUAAUUCCUUAUUCAAACCGACAAGAUCGGCAGUAUCAAUUUAAUUUCCGACAACAUGCGAUUCAACAUGUCAGCAAAAAGUAGAUAAAUAGAGAUGGGAAGCAAAACAACCGGUGUUGGUG